rnacentral:rRNA from 1 species
CGCGUAGGCGGCCGAUUAAGUCGGGGGUGAAAGCCUGUGGCUCAACCACAGAAUUGCCUUCGAUACUGGUUGGCUUGAGACCGGAAGAGGACAGCGGAACUGCGAGUGUAGAGGUGAAAUUCGUAGAUAUUCGCAAGAACACCAGUGGCGAAGGCGGCUGUCUGGUCCGGUUCUGACGCUGAGGCGCGAAAGCGUGGGGAGCAAACAGGAUUAGAUACCCUGGUAGUCC